GAAAAGAGCAUCUGGUGAAUGCCUAGGCAAUAAGAGGCGACGAAAGACGUGGCACCCUGCGAAAAGCUUCGGGGAGGCGGGAGCAUCCUUUGAUCCGAAGAUAUCUGAAUGGGGAAACCCACCCGUAAGGGUAUCGUGCACUGAAUACAUAGGUGUACGAGGCAAACCCAGCGAACUGAAACAUCUCAGUAGCUGGAGGAAAGGACAUCAACCGAGA
rnacentral:rRNA from 9 species